UCAUACAUCACUCUACAGAUUUCUGUUGCUUAGAAUAUUUGUACUGUACACGUUUAUCAUCACUUCAUGAUUUCUGAAAAACAACACAAAUCGUGCAAUACUAUAACUCAAUAACAACUGACCAUGUAAACAACAGGCCAGCACUGUAAUCGAUCUCUGAACACAAGCUCACAAUUACACAUCUCUGAUUCUCUGAACAUGUGCGCAAUGGCACAUAGAAUUCAGAAAACCAGGCCAACACUAAUGGCCGAUCCGGCGAUCAAGUUCUACUUGAUGGCUCAUCCAAGCACAGUUACAUCAAGAGAGU
rnacentral:lncRNA from 1 species